GUCUAUGACCAUGCCACCCUGAACAAGCCCGAUGUCUGAGCUCGGAAACUAAGCAGAGUCGGGCCUGGUUAGUACUUGGAUGGGAGACCACUUAGGAAGACCAGGUGCUGUGGGCA
rnacentral:rRNA from 1 species